AUAACUACACAAUGCACAGAUAAAGAUUGAGUGAUAUGAUACAGUGAUUUAAUAAUU
rnacentral:guide_RNA from 1 species